rnacentral:rRNA from 2 species
GUGGGUAGUUUGACUGGGGCGGUCUCCUCCUAAAGAGUAACGGAGGAGCACGAAGGUUGGCUAAUCCUGGUCGGACAUCAGGAGGUUAGUGCAAUGGCAUAAGCCAGCUUGACUGCGAGCGUGACGGCGCGAGCAGGUGCGAAAGCAGGUCAUAGUGAUCCGGUGGUUCUGAAUGGAAGGGCCAUCGCUCAACGGAUAAAAGGUACUCCGGGGAUAACAGGCUGAUACCGCCCAAGAGUUCAUAUCGACGGCGGUGUUUGGCACCUCGAUGUCGGCUCAUCACAUCCUGGGGCUGAAGUAGGUCCCAAGGGUAUGGCUGUUCGCCAUUUAAAGUGGUACGCGAGCUGGGUUUAGAACGUCGUGAGACAGUUCGGUCCCUAUCUGCCGUGGGCGCUGGAGAACUGAGGGGGGCUGCUCCUAGUACGAGAGGACCGGAGUGGACGCAUCACUGGUGUUCGGGUUGUCAUGCCAAUGGCACUGCCCGGUAGCUAAAUGCGGAAGAGAUAAGUGCUGAAAGCAUCUAAGCACGAAACUUGCCCCGAGAUGAGUUCUCCCUGAGACUUUAGGUCUCCUGAAGGAACGUUGAAGACGACGACGUUGAUAGGCCGGGUGUGUAAGCGCAGCGAUGCGUUGA